ACACAAAAAACAAAAAAAAAAAAAGAGAAGCAAGUAAUCUGUUUUAAUCCUAACCCUGGUAAUCAAAGUCCUUCAACGCAAUUUCAUCUACGCUUCUGACAUCCAAUCAUGGCUUUGAGAUCAAUGGUGGGUUAUCACUAAUCGCUAAUUUCUCUAUUGUUUAGUUCAAGAAUGUGUUGUUCUCUCACUUAAUUUCUGUGAUAUUUAUGAUCUGCAGAGUUGUUGGAAAUCAAUGGUGAGUCGGUUGAGUGGAACUGCAACGUAUGCAACUUCAAGCUCUCCAAAAAUGAUGGCGUAUGCUCCAACAGCUGAUUUCGGCAAUCCUCAGCGAGAAAAACGUACUAAAAAGACAAUAAAGGGAGAGUUUGUGCCCGUUUAUGUGGUGAUAGGAAUGAUAGCUCUAUCGGUAUCUCUGGGUCUGUACACCGCGAAGCAACAGAUAAUGCACUCCCCGACAGUACGCGUGAAGAAGAAGACAAGGGAAACGAUACCAGAGGUGGAGGAGCCUGAGAUAGUGGUGAAUGAGGCUGAUAGAUUCUUGAAGAAGUCUUUCUUCAGGAAAAUUGCGCAUGUUCAAGAGUUUGAUAGCGGUCUUCGAUAUACGCCUGAUCCUAUUCGUAGAGACGCUUUUGCACACGAGCAGCCCCGCGCUGAGACUCCCAAGUCUGUUGGGGUUGAUCCCAAGCGGCGUUGAGAUGUAUAUCUUUUUUACUCUACCUGCAGGAAGUUUGGGCUAAUCUUUUACCUUUGCAUAAGAUUGUAAAAUUAAGAGAUAAUCUUUCUCGUGAUGUGUUGUAAGAUAAUGUUUGAGAUGAAUGGUAUUUAUACGCUUAUAACAAACCAUAAGGGAAUGUUGCUUGGCGCAACCAUUGUUUUUUUUGGUGAGUGAUGUCUUUAAUCAUGUCAAUUUUCAAAGGCGAGGGGCUGAAAAAAUUGAAAAACUGAGGCGUUUGAGCAUCCGGGGAAUCAAACCCCGGUCAGUACCGUGGGAGGGUACUAUAAUACCUCUACACCAGAUGCGCAUAUUUUCUUGCGGAGAAACGAAUGAUUACUGUUAUUACUAUUUCUUACAGAUUAGUUUAGAGCAAAUGAGUAUCAAAUGCUAUUUAUGAAAUUUUCAAUGAUGAAAUGGAAU
rnacentral:tRNA from 1 species